UCAAGUGAAUAAGUGCAUCAGGUGGAUGCCUUGGCGAUGAUAGGCGACGAAGGACGUGUAAGCCUGCGAAAAGCGUGGAGGAGCUGGCAAUAAAGCUAUGAUCCCGCGAUGUCCGAAUGGGGAAACCCACCUCUUAGGAGGUAUCCUUAUCUGAAUACAUAGGAUAAGCGAAGCGAACCCGGAGAACUGAACCAUCUAAGUACCCGGAGGAAAAGAAAUCAACCGAGAUUCCGCAAGUAGUGGCGAGCGAACGCGGAGAAGCCUGUACGUGAUAACUGUCGAGAUAGAAGAACAAGCUGGGAAGCUUGACCAUAGUGGGUGAUAGUCCCGUAUUCGAAAUCUCAACAGUGGUACUAAGCGUACGAAAAGUAGGGCGGGACACGUGAAAUCCUGUCUGAAUAUGGGGGGACCAUCCUCCAAGGCUAAAUACUCAUCAUCGACCGAUAGUGAACCAGUACCGUGAGGGAAAGGCGAAAAGAACCCCGGGAGGGGAGUGAAAUAGAACCUGAAACCUGAUGCAUACAAACAGUGGGAGCACCCUUGUGGUGUGACUGCGUACCUUUUGUAUAAUGGGUCAACGACUUACAUUCAGUAGCGAGCUUAACCGAAUAGGGGAGGCGUAGGGAAACCGAGUCUUAAUAGGGCGAACAGUUGCUGGGUGUAGACCCGAAACCGAGUGAUCUAUCCAUGGCCAGGUUGAAGGUGCCGUAACAGGUACUGGAGGACCGAACCCACGCAUGUUGCAAAAUGCGGGGAUGAGCUGUGGAUAGGGGUGAAAGGCUAAACAAACUCGGAGAUAGCUGGUUCUCCCCGAAAACUAUUUAGGUAGUGCCUCGAGCAAGACACUGAUGGGGGUAAAGCACUGUUAUGGCUAGGGGGUUAUUGCAACUUACCAACCCAUGGCAAACUAAGAAUACCAUCAAGUGGUUCCUCGGGAGACAGACAGCGGGUGCUAACGUCCGUUGUCAAGAGGGAAACAACCCAGACCGCCAGCUAAGGUCCCAAAUGAUAGAUUAAGUGGUAAACGAAGUGGGAAGGCCCAGACAGCCAGGAUGUUGGCUUAGAAGCAGCCAUCAUUUAAAGAAAGCGUAAUAGCUCACUGGUCGAGUCGUCCUGCGCGGAAGAUGUAACGGGGCUCAAAUCUAUAACCGAAGCUGCGGAUGCCAGUUUACUGGCAUGGUAGGGGAGCGUUCUGUAGGCUGAUGAAGGUGCAUUGUAAAGUGUGCUGGAGGUAUCAGAAGUGCGAAUGUUGACAUGAGUAGCGAUAAAGCGGGUGAAAAGCCCGCUCGCCGAAAGCCCAAGGUUUCCUACGCAACGUUCAUCGGCGUAGGGUGAGUCGGCCCCUAAGGCGAGGCAGAAAUGCGUAGUCGAUGGGAAACAGGUUAAUAUUCCUGUACUUGAUUCAAAUGCGAUGUGGGGACGGAGAAGGUUAGGUUAGCAAGCUGUUGGAAUAGCUUGUUUAAGCCGGUAGGUGGAAGACUUAGGCAAAUCCGGGUCUUCUUAACACCGAGAAGUGAUGACGAGUGUCUACGGACAUGAAGUAACCGAUACCACGCUUCCAGGAAAAGCCACUAAGCUUCAGUUUGAAUUGAACCGUACCGCAAACCGACACAGGUGGGCAGGAUGAGAAUUCUAAGGCGCUUGAGAGAACUCGGGAGAAGGAACUCGGCAAAUUGAUACCGUAACUUCGGGAGAAGGUAUGCCCUCUAAGGUUAAGGACUUGCUCCGUAAGCCCUGGAGGGUCGCAGAGAAUAGGUGGCUGCGACUGUUUAUUAAAAACACAGCACUCUGCUAACACGAAAGUGGACGUAUAGGGUGUGACGCCUGCCCGGUGCUGGAAGGUUAAUUGAAGAUGUGCAAGCAUCGGAUCGAAGCCCCAGUAAACGGCGGCCGUAACUAUAACGGUCCUAAGGUAGCGAAAUUCCUUGUCGGGUAAGUUCCGACCCGCACGAA
rnacentral:rRNA from 1 species